UAAUUAAUAUUACUUGAAAAAAUAAUAAAGUAUUUGAUUUUGCUGUACCCAAACGAAAAGCGAGAACUGCGUUUUUCUCCGACAGU